GAAAUAGUUCCUGAAACCAUGUGCCUACAAUUAGUUAGAGCCCGUUAAUGGGUGAUAGCGUGCCUUUUGUAGAAUGAACCGGCGAGUUACGUUAAUUUGCAAGGUUAAGGUGGAAAGACCGGAGCCGUAGCGAAAGCGAGUCUGAAACGGGCGUUUCAGUAAAUUGACGUAGACCCGAAACCAGGUGACCUAUCCAUGUCCAGGUUGAAGGUGCGGUAAAACGCACUGGAGGACCGAACCCGUGUAUGUUGAAAAAUGCUGGGAUGAGGUGUGGAUAGCGGUGAAAUUCCAAACGAACUUGGAGAUAGCUGGUUCUCUCCGAAAUAGCUUUAGGGUUAGCCUCGGAGUCAAGAAUCGUGGAGGUAGAGCCACUGUUUGGACUAGGGGCCCGUCAUGGGUUACUGAAUUCAGAUAAACUCCGAAUGCCACUGAUUUAUAUCCGGGAGUCAGACGAUGAGUGAUAAGAUCCACCGUCGAAAGGGGAACAGCCCAGACCAUCAAUUAAGGUCCCUAAAUACAUGCUGAGUGGAAAAGGAUGUGGAGUUGCAUAGACAGCUAGGAUGUUGGCUCAGAAGCAGCCACCAUUUAAAGAGUGCGUAAUAGCUCACUAGCCGAGUGAUCCUGCGCCGAAAAUUUACCGGGGCUAAGCAUGUUACCGAAAUUAUGGAUGCAACCAAUAGGUUGCGUGAUAGGAGAGCGUUCUAAGGGCAAUGAAGCCAGACCGCAAGGACUGGUGGAGCGCUUAGAAGUGAGAAUGCCGGUAUGAGUAGCGAAAGAUCAGUGAGAAUCUGAUCCACCGAAUGACUAAGGUUUCCUGGGGAAGGCUCGUCCUCCCAGGGUUAGUCGGGACCUAAGCCGAGGCUGAGAAGCGUAGGCGAUGGAUAACAGGUUGAUAUUCCUGUACUAGUUAAUCAUGUUUGAACAAUGGAGGGACGCAGCAGGCUACGAUAUGCGCACGAUUGGAAAUGUGCGUUCAAGCAUCAAGUCUGGCGGUGAGUUAAAUGCUUAUCGCUAAGGACAAGGUGUUACGAGGACCGAAUUUUAGUAGGGAAGUAUCCGAUGUCACACUGCCGAGAAAAGCUUCUAGUUAGUGAUUAAUUACCCGUACCGCAAACCGACACAGGUAGUCGAGGAGAGUAUCCUAAGGUGAGCGAGUGAACUCUCGUUAAGGAACUCGGCAAAAUGACCCCGUAACUUCGGGAGAAGGGGUGCUGCACGCAAGUGCAGCCGCAGUGAAUAGGCCCAGGCGACUGUUUAUCAAAAACACAGGUUUCUGCAAAAUCGUAAGAUGACGUAUAGGGGCUGACGCCUGCCCGGUGCUGGAAGGUUAAGUGGAUGAGUUAGCUUCGGCGAAGCCCAGAAAUGAAGCCCCAGUAAACGGCGGCCGUAACUAUAACGGUCCUAAGGUAGCGAAAUUCCUUGUCGGGUAAGUUCCGACCCGCACGAAAGGCGUAACGAUCUGGGCACUGUCUCAACGAGAGACUCGGUGAAAUUAUAUUACCUGUGAAGAUGCAGGUUACCCGCGACAGGACGGAAAGACCCCAUGGAGCUUUACUGUAGCUUGAUAUUGGGUGUUGACACAGCUUGUACAGGAUAGGUCGGAGCCGUAGAACUCGGAACGCUAGUUUCGAGUGAGGCGCUGGUGGGAUACGACCCUCGCUGUGUGAAUACUCUAACCCACACCACUAAUCGUGGUGGGAGACAGUGUCAGGUGGGCAGUUUGACUGGGGCGGUCGCCUCCUAAAAAGUAACGGAGGCGCCCAAAGGUUCUCUCAGAAUGGUUGGAAAUCAUUCGCUGAGUGUAAAGGCAGAAGAGAGCUUGACUGCGAGACAGACAGGUCGAGCAGGGACGAAAGUCGGGCUUAGUGAUCCGGUGGUACCGUAUGGAAGGGCCAUCGCUCAACGGAUAAAAGCUACCCUGGGGAUAACAGGCUUAUCUCCCCCAAGAGUCCACAUCGACGGGGAGGUUUGGCACCUCGAUGUCGGCUCAUCGCAUCCUGGGGCUGUAGUCGGUCCCAAGGGUUGGGCUGUUCGCCCAUUAAAGCGGUACGCGAGCUGGGUUCAGAACGUCGUGAGACAGUUCGGUCCCUAUCCGUCGCGGGCGUAGGAAAUUUGAGAGGAGCUGUCCUUAGUACGAGAGGACCGGGAUGGACAUACCUCUGGUGUACCAGUUGUGCCGCCAGGCGCAUCGCUGGGUAGCUAUGUAUGGAUGAGAUAAACGCUGAAAGCAUCUAAGUGUGAAACUCGCCUCGAGAUGAGAUUUCCCAUUCCUAUAUGGAAGUAAGACCCCUGAGAGAUGAUCAGGUAGAUAGGCUGGAAGUAGCAGCACCGUGAGGUGUGGAGCGGACCAGUACUAAUCGGUCGAGGACUUAACCAA
rnacentral:rRNA from 2 species